AUAGCCCAUGUGAACAUCUCUACCAUAAUCCUCCACACUUAGCAGGUGCUCAAUCCAUGUUCCUUUCCCCCUCCGCUGCUCUUUCAGAAUAUCCUGAAUAUAGUGGCCCGUCUUUAAUGUGUCAGGUUCAUGUUAGCAUUACUGCUAAUUAACGACUGACUAUGAUGCAGCGCUGUGGUAGUGGAGCUCUCGACGCUUAGUGAAGUGAUUGAGGAUAUUUGUGUCUAUACUACACGAGCCCAGGUUUUUCAGCAGCACUAUUUUUUAUAUUCAAAGUUUCCCAUGUUAAUCCAGAAAAGCAUAAAUUCCAAAUCUUUAAUUUAAAAUACUGUGGUAAGUAUAUGCCCUAGGUGGCAUCAAGGCUACCAGGAAGCUGUGCUGUUUUCUGGGGAGUAGUAACUCCCUCACUGUGUCCUUCCACUGGGCAUGUGUCACUGUCUCAGUUGUGGAGGGAUAUGGGGAAGCAGGUCAGUGAGAGGGCGGUGAUGUUAACUUAUCCCAGUUAACACCUAUUCUUUCACUGCCUCAAGAAUGAAUCCCUGAGGAUAUUAAUGAACAUGUUACCAAUCUAGAAACAAAUAAUCCUGAGUAAGUAAUUCUGUUACCCGAAUCAAUGAGAAAUAAAUAAUCCAACGCAUUCACUUUCCACCUCCGUUAAUCAUUCUAGUUUUUAACUUCGUUUUACCAAAAGAAGGAAUAUCACUCCUGUUUUCUCCUGUGGUCAUAGUGGUGCUAUCAUGAGUGCCAGAGAUGUGUUCUGCAGACUUGACCACGGUGCAUGCAGCCUGUGUGUACACGUGUAGCCCUACACCAGCAGUCCAGGCAGCUCCCCACUCACCUCUCUGUUUGGAAGGCUCCUCCUCCUCCGUCGGCUCUGACGGGUCGUAAUAGUCGCUACCGUAAGUGAACCCCACGGCAUUGUAGCUCCCAUCCUCUGCUAGUGCUUCACUCAAUCGCUUGUAUUCUUCCUCUUGAAUAAAAAUGAGAAUUUUAUCAACAAAAAUAGAAAAUUACUGAGAAAAACUUUAUAUAUUUCUAAAGUUGUAGCUAUCAGUAAAGCAUACAACAUACUUUUUUCAACCUACUUUUGAGGUAAAAUAUUUUUAAAAAUUCACACUUUAUAUCUAUCAAUAUGUACUUUUGUCAGUACAUGUUUACCCACAGACAGCUGAAUACACGUCUUUUGUGGAAAAUUUCUUCCUGCUGAGAAAAUUUUGGGAUUAAGAACUGUAUUAAAGACUGUUACGGCAAAGACAAGAACAUCAAUUUUAUUUAUACGAUACUGUUAAAGAAGAACAGUUAAAGAGUUUGGUUUUUGUUUUUUUCAAAUCCCAGUCUGCCCUCAAAAGCUGGGAAAAUUCUUUGUGGCUCUAUAUAUAAACUAUCCUGAGGUCCUCUCAGAACGCAAAGACUCCUGUUUUUCCAAUCCACUGGGUACUGUCAAGAUAAUAUCAGAAAGAGUGAGUAUAAAAAAAUGAAUGGGAGUAAAUUUUUAAAUACUUAAAAAUUUUAAAAAGUUUGUUGCUGAAGUAAGUUUGUCUUGAGCAGUACCUUGCCUUGCCUCCUCCUCAAGCAAGUCCGUAUGCAAGGCUAAAUACCUCUCUUCAUCACACAGGGCCUCUAUUCGCGCCUCCUCUUCAGACAGCUGAUAAUCUCUGUUCCACGUGGAAUACUCAGCAUCGUACUCAGAAAGGUCAUGCAGGUGACCACGUCCAUCAUAUCUGUAAUGUGAACAAGCUGGUCAAUAAAAGGAAAUUAACGUCUA